AUGGGCCGGAGAGAAAAAAAGUUCUCCCACUCCGAGCCGCUCAAGAGGAGAUAUAGGACCCGAGGCGCUGCGUUUGAAGAUCCGCACUCCGCUUGGCUUUGUGUCCGGGGGCAGACGGAGAGCUCGGGUGACCCGCCGGGGCAGAGGUCACGCUCAUCAAGAGUGGGUUUGGAGUGUGACAGACUACAGUGGGCUGAACUGCAGACAGGCUGAGUGAUUCCACUCUCCGUCAAGUCGUCCUCCUCCAGUCUGCUGGUCUGCUGUUCGUCUGGACGCUGCAGUGUUGGACUACAAGGUUGAGCACACAUGGCGGAAUAAGAGCGGACUGAGUAGGUCUUUCGUGAAGUCUGGCUGUCCAUGUGUGUGACGCCGGAGUUGCAGGUAAACCCAUUUGCUGUUUUCUCUAUCAAGAAACACCACAGUUAUUUCCAGAUGCUACAUGAAACCUUUUAAAAUGUUAUUGCCAAAUGCAAUAUUUUAUUUAAACUGCACAUAACUACACAUACAGAACUCAUGAGCGUGCUCUGAUGGUGAUGCUUGUGGAAAGUCCAUGGGGUCACUCAAGGCCAUGGGGUUACAAUGGGACCAUUUAAGGUGAACAAUUUAACGACAACAAUUGUUAGAUUGUAAGAUUUUUACAUUUCAAUCAGAUGCUGUUGCUAGAGGAAAGGGACCACCUCUUUGGUUCACCACCAGUCCAAACUUUUCACUUUGGACUGGCGGUGUUACAAGAAAGGUCCUGGGGUCACCAAAAUCAUACAUAAAUACCCUGACUGUUCAUUUCCAUGCUAGAUUAUUUGGCAGUCUGACCAGUAUCUGUCUGCUUGCUGUACUUGGACAUUAAAGGGCCAUAAAUAAUACUUUUUGCCUUCAUUUCAUAUUCAUGUUGUAGAAAAAGUCAGGGACCAUGGGCAUGAAGGUGUGUGGUAUGGGCCCCAUGACUAGGCCACUGGAGUGACCCCAUCCAAUAGCUGUUAAGAUAUUUCAGUCUGAAACAGAGCAGUGGACCAAUCGACUGUCACACCGACAUUGCCAUCCAGAGUCAUGAGUCUAGCGUGGCUGAUAAAAAAACAUCUCAUGUACCAUCUCAUGUAAGAUGUACAGUAAUAUCAAUGAAGGCUGAACUGUUCCUCUUCUGCUGCUGCUGCUCUCCAUUUCUUUCUCACUAAAACACAUUCAACUCUCCUCCCAAUGUCGGAACAUUUCUAG
rnacentral:lncRNA from 1 species